ACGUCCAUUGACAGUUUGGCAUUCACAUUUGGCAAUGUAGUGUCUGACUUCCUUAUGGGAGAUGUGGACAGCCAAUCAGGGUUGGGGAUCCCCCAGACCAGAAGAAGCAGGUCCUUUGAGAACCUCUCUGUGGAUUCUGGGGGGUAUGUUCCAGAGAAGAAAGGCCUUGUGGG